rnacentral:lncRNA from 1 species
UACAGUUUUAUUUCUUUUUAUUGAAUUGUUACGUUAAGACAACUCCACCUCACUGUGGCUUGGCAAUGGCAUACCCACCCUUACAUAAGAGGGAGAGAAAAGACGGGUAAAGGGGCUUUACCCAAGAGCAAGGGUAGGGAGUUGAUGCGUAGGUAUCAUGGGAAAAAUGCAAUAAUUUCAGAAAACAAAUAUAUAUAGGUUUGGAGGAUUAACCAAACAACCUUUAUAGAUUUGUUUGUAAUUCACAAGAAAAGACAAAAAAAGGAUAUAUCUAAAAAGGGUAGGCCCUAUAUAAUAGAAUAGUUCAAACCAUGGGUGCCUUUGUACAACUGAUUUUAGACCUUGAACUAAAACUACCGGUCAUUUCUUGCUAACAAAUAGACCACCCCCACGCAUACUCGGCACUGUGAUGCAGUCAUUGCUUGCUGACGAAUCGCCCACCCCACACAUAUUCCGCAUGGUGGUGCCUACACCGAAACGACCCCGGGUGGUGCUUCGUAGGUGAACACAGACACCUCUUCAUGAUCGAACCAGCUCCUCCACCAGUCUUUCUAGCCACUCCAGGUCUUGGUGCAUGAUGGGCAGCAGCCAUCAUUGAUGCUUGCAAAACGAACCAUCUGCGUUGCACCACCAAGCCUCGUUUGCCAACGGAAGGAACGCUUGCAUAGCACAUUUUUCUUUUCUUCUUUUUGGCCCCUUCUCUCCGCUCUGCCUUUCACUCUGGGUAUUAUUAUGUUUCUGUGUGAACAGAGGUCGAAAAGCAAAGAAUCUGUGUUCCGGUGAAAUUAUAUAAGGGAUG